rnacentral:tRNA from 1 species
UCCCUGGAGGACUAGUGGUUAGGCUUCGGUACUCUCACCACCACGGCCCGGGUUCGGUUCCUGGCCAGGGAA